GCAGGGCCUGAUGGUGGUGAAUCUUGGGAUGAUAGAAUUGUACGUCUGAUGUGAAUAUUGGAGCCUCCGGAGAUGAACUCAGUUGACCUUCUAAACCCAUCAAUUAAGUUAGGACGUGCUUCUUCAGAUCCACGAGAAAACAUGGCGAGAAGCUGAUAUAUGCAUUCAAACAAUCAAAAACAUCUCCCCCAUGGAAAUGAAAGCUAACAACCAAAAAAGAAAACUGUUGAAAAUUGUAGAAAAAAGAUGCAUUACCAUAUAUGGUUCGAAUUCCGAGGAGGCGAAAUGGCAAUCGCCGGCAGUGGUGAGAACCAUUUCGACGGUCUUCGUUCUGGCCUCUGAACUGGAAAUUGCCAAUGCGCUGAGGAGGAUCACAAAUACAACCACAUAACCAGGUCUUCUCAAUUCCAUUUCUGUGUGAACCCUCAUUCCAUACGUAAUUUUCUCUUUUCAUUUCAUCGAACUCGAAGGAAUUUCUUUAUCUCAAAACCCAUUCGUUCGAAUUGAAACGUGCGAAUCAAUCGUCCACUACGAUGGAAUUACUUCAAUCUCAUGCACACAACUGUUGUGAAAUCGACGAAAUUACGAGGUUUCAGAGGUUGAAUCCCCUGGCCGGCGGAUGAUAUUUUUGUUCCUCCUCAGCAGAAUUUCCCCUGGGUUUUGCCUUCGAAAUCAAAAAAGUGGAAUUCUUUUCCCCCCGUUGUAUUUCCAAGAUAUCUUUUCUUGAUAUCCGAAAGGGAGGGAAAAAAAUGUUGCGCUAAACACAGACGUUUUCUUUUUCUUUUAUUUAACUUUUUUUCUUUUUC